rnacentral:rRNA from 1 species
CCUACGGGAGGCAGCAGUGAGGAAUAUUGGACAAUGGGCGCAAGCCUGAUCCAGCCAUGCCGCGUGCAGGAAGACGGUCCUAUGGAUUGUAAACUGCUUUUAUACAGGAAGAAACACCUCUACGUGUAGAGACUUGACGGUACUGUAUGAAUAAGCAUCGGCUAACUCCGUGCCAGCAGCCGCGGUAAUACGGAGGAUGCAAGCGUUAUCCGGAAUCAUUGGGUUUAAAGGGUCCGUAGGCGGUUUAAUAAGUCAGUGGUGAAAGCCCAUCGCUCAACGAUGGAACGGCCAUUGAUACUGUUAAACUUGAAUUAUUAGGAAGUAACUAGAAUAUGUAGUGUAGCGGUGAAAUGCUUAGAGAUUACAUGGAAUACCAAUUGCGAAGGCAGGUUACUACUAAUAUAUUGACGCUGAUGGACGAAAGCGUGGGGAGCGAACAGGAUUAGAUACCCUGGUAGUCCACGCCGUAAAACGAUGGAUACUAGCUGUUCGGUAGCGAUACUGUAGUGGCGUAAGACGAAAGUAGAAGUAAGUAAGUUACCCUACCCGUCGGGGUAGGUUACGGUUCGUCGAAGAAGUAGAAACGUAACGAAACGUAAGUAAGUUAGUACGGUACGUAGAGACGUUACGGACCGACGGACCGACCGACGGAGGGGAGGGUAGGGAG